UUCUGUCAGAAAUGUAUGUCUUCCUUAUUAUUUCUCUGCUUAUUUUCGUACUAUGCAUGGUGAUAUCUUGUCAGGAGAUGGAGAUCCCUUUGCAUGAGGUAUUAGGCAUACAUUUCUUUAAUAGUCCCAGAAGGUUGAAUAUUCUCUUUAUGCACUGCGUUUUCCUGAGAUUAAGAGAGCUAUUAAAUCCACAGACCAAAUGAAAUUGGGAAGAAAGGAAAGAAAAGAAAAAAAAACAGUAAUGCUCAUAAAUGUGAGAAUCUACAUAAUUUCCAAUGCUUCUGUUUGCACCUCCUUUACAUCCAAUAACUCUUCUUUCAAGGUAAUUUUUUUGUGUGCUGCAAUUCAAAUAUUUCUCUUCUGCCAACAGCUGAUAAAGUAAGGAAUAAUAAAGAAGACAAUUACCCGCAUAAGAAAGAGGACUAGUUCUAAGGAAAAAUACUUUAACUGUAUGAACUCUUUAUGUGGUGCAACCCAGUUCUUGCCAUUUUAUGCUCUUUUAAGGUGGAGGCUCUUAAAAAAUUAGAUGCAACGAAUGAUAUAACCAGAGCUAGAGAUCUUUGUGUUAAUAUUAAUUAAAGCCAUUUUGCAUUGUCCCCAAAGUUUUAGUGUUCAGUGUACAGCAGAUUUUUCUAUUAAUACCGCAGUACACACUUCUGUAGCUGCAGUGCAGACUGUCUGGCUACAUCUCAAGCAUUUCAGAAAAGGCAGUUGGAAAGGGAGGGUAGAAAUUUCCUGCUGAACAGUAAUAACAGUAAUAACCUGUGCCUGAGGGUUCCAGUAAGGGCUGAUCUAUCCCAGUUCCCUAAAAGCAUCAGAGAGCUCUGUCCAGAGAAAGCUCCCAAAAUCUGAGUGUCAGUCAUACAAAUCAUCCCAGUUCUGUGUGAUUCUAGGAAGCAUCGUUACAGCUGUGCCUUCCCGCAGCUGUGUGAACCGGUUUGAGCUGCUUCCAUGUUAAGAUGGCUAUGAGCUAGAGCUGCUGCUGGGAGAUGGGCUGCGCGUAGUGUCUCAAUGGGCAGCAGUGGCCUUCAGUUUAUUAACUGACCCUGAAUCAUUACCAAAUGUAUCUAUACUUAUUCACUAGGACUUUUUUUUAUUACUCCAACGUGAAAAAAAUAAAUUACAGCACUGAUGUGAGUUGUGGUUUUUGUUUUUAAUUCACUUCCAAACAUAAGCCAUCAAAAAUGAAUACAGAAAACUGUAGAAUGAUUCUGAAGUGAAAAUCAUGUUUCUGCAGGUUUCAUUAUGGGAACAAGCAUCUGGACAUAUUUCAGAUAUUUAGAAUAAACUCACAUUUCUAAAACUGCUAGUAUUUAUUUACGAAGCCACAGAUUUUCAAACUUGCUCUAUGAGAAAUAAAAGAGUUAACAACAGUGAGACAUCAUGUAGCAUUGCAAAACCCCUAAUUGCAAAGGGAAAUUGAAAGGCUAAGUCAUAGUUAUGGAUUUAAGAAUAUGGUGUCAAAAUGCAAUAGAACUGUAAUGUAUACUUUCAAGGAAAUCAGGGCAGGUGAUGCACCAAAUAAGGCAGUGUUUCCAUUCCAGCUACUCACACUGGCUGUGGUGACUGCAUUAACAUGUGCUAUUAUGACUCUUGUGAAAAAAUGGUGAUAAAGACCACAGUAAUAUGGUGUGUGAAAGAAAAACAGUAUGAUAUUAACUCUUUUUUCAUCCAUUAAAAAGCAUAGGAGACCUGAUGGAGAACAAAGAACUAUUAUAUUAACUUUAAAAAUAAACUUCUAGCAUCAGGCAAAUGAGAUUAUCUCAGAUUUAUUCUGUCACAAUAUUUUCCAGCAGUCCACUAUAUUCAAAUCUGCUGAACAAUGUAAGUAAGCAGUCACUUGUAGGUUAUUUGUCAGUGUAAUAUGAACGUGAAGCAUUUGAAGAGAACUUGCUACUCCUCUACCGAAAUGACUACAUAGUUUACAAUUCCGAUGGUGUAUCCCAUGCGACUGUUUAGCAAACUGUGUAUUGUUUGAGUGAAAUAACAUCCCUGCUAAGGAAAAUGAGAACUUUGUCACUGACUGCAGAAAAAGAUUUUCACUAUAAUCAGGCUGAGAAAAUAAGUCCUUAUUAUGGAAAUUACUCAUAUUCUAUGCCUUUCUGAUUUUUAGUAAGACAACAAAAUUAUCCAUAUAGAGUUGACAUUACUGUCUUCACCUGUGUGUCCAAAUUUUACUUCAAAGCAGUCGCAGUUCAUGCCCGUCUUCCCCAGAGCUGAGGUCUCUAUACUGUCGAGAAGGUGAAGAAAGUCACAUGGAUUUGCCCAUAGCUUGAAGUCUACAU
rnacentral:lncRNA from 1 species